rnacentral:lncRNA from 1 species
GCUUCCUGCUGAAGAUAGGCAGAAUUCCGGUGUCAGCUGUGUCUGACCAGCCCCUGAGUGUGUCUUGCACACAACACUCAGCCUCCAUCCUGCUCCAGCAGGAAACAUCCCAAAAAUCUGAUCUCAAGCCUUGAACAUUAAGCAUAGCAAAAAUACAGCUCUUGAAGGCAACCUGGAUUAUUUACUGUACAGUGUGUGCUUGGCAACACCUGCAGUUACUCUCAAGGGCUCUGACUUGCAAGUGCACCUCAGUAGUAGCAUUGACAAGGGCCAUAUUUCAUUCUGUGUGUUUUCACUGAUUAACAGCUACAUUACAGCAGAGUGCAGACAGCAGACAUACCUAUAAUACAGAAUAUCCAAUAAUACAGAAUAUAACAAUAAUAUAGAACUAACAUACCUGC